rnacentral:lncRNA from 1 species
GGGAAGGUAAAGAGAAUCCAACGAAGAUCUUUGUUAUUGUUUAACUAGUUGUAAGGCCCAAAUUUUGCCUGGGCCCAACACACUCAAAUUAGACUAAAUAAAACCAAAAUAUCUCACCAGCCCAAAACAGAGUUCAGCCCAAAUACAAAUUAAAACCCCAAAAAAAAACUAAAAACCCUAAAGCCCAAACAGCCCACAAAACUAAAAAAAAUCAGCCAAGGGAAACCUUAGCUAGUCGCUGCUCCAACCGUAAGCCUUGCUGCAACCGCACGCUACCUCCCUGCAUGCCACUGUCUGACGCUUCUCUG